UCGACCCUCAAAUCGAACAAGAUUACCCGGCUGAUUUUAACCUUAUACUAAGCCGGAGGAAAAGAACCUACCAGGGAUUUCCCCAAUUACCGGCGAGUGACGCGGAAAGAGCCCAACCACGGAUUCCCUACAGUGUCACCCUGACGGAACCCGCCGAUUCCUUCUUGAUCGGGGCCUCCACCCCAAAGCGGGUGUAAGGGCCUUUGCAGGUGGCUUCUUGUGUAUGCAGCCCAAAGCGGGUGGUUAAACUCCAAUCUAAGGCUAAAUACUUGCCGAAGUCCGAUAUGCGGACAAGUUACGUGAGGGGAGAGUUAGUACUUAGGCUUAAGAUUGGAGUUUACACCCGCUUUGGGGCUGCA
rnacentral:rRNA from 1 species